rnacentral:lncRNA from 10 species
GAACACCUGAGACCAGGAGGCGGACAAGGGUAUGGCUGUGUUCCUCAGAAAUACUAGAGUCAAAAAAGUGACCAGACAUCUGAAAACGGAAACUUGGACUCAGAAAGGCAAAACAGCUUGCUCAAGGGCUCACAACUAUUUAGGUGGUAGAGCUAAGAUAUGAACCUACCUCUGACACCAAAGUGCACUUCAACACCCUACUAUCACCCAACAAAGAAUUCUGGCCACAGAAUCACCUUGCUGCGGUAUUCCUGACUGAAUCAAGAUACGCUGGGGAAGAGGCAUCUGAAGAUAGCCCGGGUUCUGACCUCGGCCCUGCUGCCUAACUGC